rnacentral:rRNA from 1 species
GACGAACGCUGGCGGCGUGCUUAACACAUGCAAGUCGAACGGAAAGGCCCCCACUUUUUUGGUGGGGGUGCUCGAGUGGCGAACGGGUGAGUAACACGUGGGUGAUCUGCCCUGUACUUCGGGAUAAGCUUGGGAAACUGGGUCUAAUACCGGAUAGGACCAUGGUUUAGUGUCUCAUGGUGGAAAAAUUAUUGUUUUGGUGCAGGAUGAGCUCGCGGCCUAUCAGCUUGUUGGUGGGGUAAUGGCCUACCAAGGCGUCGACGGGUAGCCGGCCUGAGAGGGUGGACGGCUGCAUUGGGACUGGGAUACGGCGCAGACUCCUACGGGCGGCAGCAGUGGGGAAUAUUGGACGAUGGGCGCAAGCCUGAUGCAGCGACGCCGCGUGGCGGAUGCCGGCCUUCGGGUUGUAAACUCCUUUCGUUAUGGACGAAGCCGCACCUUUUUUGAGUGUGGUGACGGUACCUUUGUUAAGAAGCACCGGCUAACUACGUG